UUGGAUAUAGUAUAAUAAAUACAUUUUGCUUACACCAAAAAAAUAUAAAUAUUAUCCACU
rnacentral:tRNA from 1 species